UGGGGAAUAUUGGACAAUGGGCGAAAGCCUGAUCCAGCCAUGCCGCGUGUGUGAAGAAGGUCUUCGGAUUGUAAAGCACUUUAAGUUGGGAGGAAGGGCAGUAAGCUAAUACCUUGCUGUUUUGACGUUACCGACAGAAUAAGCACCGGCUAACUCUGUGCC
rnacentral:rRNA from 1 species